rnacentral:tRNA from 1 species
AAGGGUAUAGCUCAAGUGGUAGAGCUCAUGCUUAGCAUGCAUGAGGUCCUGGGUUCAAUCCCCAGUGCCUCCU